CGCCUCUUGAACCCCAAUAAGAGGUCCAGCCUGCCCAGUGACUCUGUUCAACGGCCGCGGUAUCCUAACCGUGCGAAGGUAGCGUAAUCACUUGUUCUUUAAUUGUGGACUAGUAUGAAUGGCACCACGAGGGUUAUACUGUCUCCUUUUUCUAAUCAGUGAAACUAAUCUCCCCGUGAAGAAGCGGGGAUAAGAAUAUAAGACGAGAAGACCCUAUGGAGCUUUAAACAAUAUAGCAAUUACCGUGCAAUUUAAAAUUUUCUGAAUCUUUAACAUACCAAAGGUGAUAUGACUGUAAGUUUUUGGUUGGGGUGACCACGGAGCAUAACAUAACCUCCAUGUUGAAAGAAUUUUUAGCUAAGACCCACCCGUCCAAGCAUCAAUUUAUUGACAUCCAUUGACCCAAUAUAUUUGACCAACGAACCAAGUUACCCUAGGGAUAACAGCGCAAUCCACUUCAAGAGCUCCUAUCGACAAGUGGGUUUACGACCUCGAUGUUGGAUCAGGGUAUCCCAGUGGUGCAGCCGCUACUAAAGGUUCGUUUGUUCAACGAUUAAAACCCUACG
rnacentral:rRNA from 1 species